rnacentral:rRNA from 1 species
UUGUCCGGAAUCACUGGGCGUAAUGGGCGCGUAGGUGGUUUGGUAAGGGUGUGGUGAAAGUCCGGGGCUCAACCUCGGAUCGGCCGUGGCGACUCGUGGGCUGGAGCACUGUAGAGGCGGGUGGAAUUCCGGGUGUAGCGGUGGAAUGCGUAGAGAUCCGGAAGAACACCAGUGGCGAAGGCGGCCCGCUGGGCAGUGGCUGACGCUGAGGCGCGACAGCGUGGGGAGCAAACAGG